rnacentral:rRNA from 1 species
UCCCGUAGGUGCCGCGUGGAUGAUGAAGGUCUUAGGAUUGUAAAAUCCUUUCACCGGUGAAGAUAAUGACUGUAGCCGGAGAAGAAGCCCCGGCUAACUUCGUGCCAGCAGCCGCGGUAAUACGAAGGGGGCUAGCGUUGCUCGGAAUUACUGGGCGUAAAGGGAGCGUAGGCGGACAUUUAAGUCAGGGGUGAAAUCCCGAGGCUCAAGUCGGAACUGCCUUUGAUACUGGGUGUCUUGAGUGUGAGAGAGGUAUGUGGAACUCCGAGUGUAGAGGUGAAAUUCGUAGAUAUUCGGAAGAACACCAGUGGCGAAGGCGACAUACUGGCUCAUUACUGUCGCUGAGGCUCGAAAGCGUGGGGAGCAAACAGGAUUAGAUCCCCUGGUAGUCCACGGCGUAAACGAUGAUUGCUAGUUGUCGGGAAGCUUGCUUUUCGGUGACGCAGCUAACGCAUUAAGCAAUCCGCCUGGGGAGUACGGUCGCAAGAUUAAAACUCAAAGGAAUUGACGGG